GACGAACGCUGGCGGCGUGCUUAACACAUGCAAGUCGAACGAUGAAGAAGAGCUUGCUCUUCGGAUUAGUGGUGAACGGGUGAGUAACACGUGGCUAACCUGCCCCUUUCUCUGGGAUAACGCUCCGAAAGGAGUGCUAAUACCGGAUACUCACAUCGAGGCACAUGCCUUGAUGCGGAAAGUUUUUCGGAAAGGGAUGGAGUCGCGGCCUAUCAGCUUGUUGGUGAGGUAACGGCUCACCAAGGCGACGACGGGUAGCCGGGCUGAGAGGGCGACCGGCCACACUGGGACUGAGACACGGCCCAGACUCCUACGGGGGGCAGCAGUGGGGAAUAUUGCACAAUGGGCGAAAGCCUGAUGCAGCGACGCCGCGUGAGGGAUGAAGGUCUUCGGAUUGUAAACCUCUUUCAGUAGGGACGAAGCGAAAGUGACGGUACCUAAAGAAGAAGCACCGGCUAACUACGUGCCAGCCGCCGCCGUAA
rnacentral:rRNA from 1 species